CCGAUGGAGGGGGAUAACUACUGGAAACGGUAGCUAAUACCGCAUAACGUCGCAAGACCAAAGAGGGGACCUUAGGGCCUCUUGCCAUCGGAUGUGCCCAGAUGGGAUUAGCUAGUAGGUGGGGUAACGGCUCACCUAGGCGACGAUCCCUAGCUGGUCUGAGAGGAUGACCAGCCACACUGGAACUGAGACACGGUCCAG
rnacentral:rRNA from 1 species